GGCUGGUCCUAGUGCAGAGGUGUUGAUAACUAAUUCAUCACAAUCAGUUACAGAUUUCUUUGUUCCUUCUCCACUCACACUGCUUCACUUGACUAGCCUUUA
ensembl:misc_RNA Y_RNA Y RNA